UCAACUACCUAAAAAAUAUCUGAAUUGAUCAUUUAUUAUAAAUUCAAAGAGUAUUUCCGUGUUGCUUUUUGUAUAAGGUGUCUUUAUUUUUGCUAUUUUCCACAAGUUAAAGACACUACUGAAGCAGGUGAGAUUUUCAGAUUUUAUGGGUCUUAACCUUGAAGAUUUCCAUUACAUGUUAUGAAUGUGUUCCUAUCUAAUCACCUAUUUUAACAUGAAGGUUGUUUUUCUGAUUUUCAGAUAUUCACAUUCUCUGGCGGUCCAUUUCUCAAUAUAAAUGAUGAUGAAAAUGUUAUACACUCUUAAACAUCAAAAUCUAAAACUGUUUGUUUGUAAUCUGCCCCAGAUUUGAAUUGGAAUACUACAUUUAAUGAAGCUGAAGUGGAGACCUUAACUCUAUAAAUCUUUUCCAAAAUCCAUGGAUAUUUAAGACAUAACAUUUAAACUUUGAUUCUAAUCCAGUGUAUCAGGAAAUGAUUUGCCAAAAUACCAUUCUGUCAAGGGAUCAAACGGGGAAGAAGUACUCAGAUCCUUUACUUAAGGAAAACUAGAGAUGAUAUGGUCUUAAAAUAUUCCAUUACGAGUAAAGAACCUGAAUUCAAAAUGUUCCUUAAGAAGUAGAGACGUAAAUGUACUUAAAGAAUGCAGAUUGCAGAUUUUCGCAGUGUUAUAUUAUUAUAGAAUAAUAUAUUAUCUGUUUUUGUCACUAGAAAAUACAUAUUAGUGUAUUUUAUUAUUGUAGUUUGUCAAUGUGGACACUUGAUAAAAUACUGGGUUUAUUUGUAGUAUAAUACUGUACCCUAUCACAUAAGCAUACAAUGUGUUUUUAUAUAUAACAAGUGUAAAUUAAAUGUAUUAAAAUGUAUUAAAAAAGUAUGAUUUUUGCCCAUGAAAUGUUGUGGCAUGAAAGUAUAAAGUAGCAUAAAACAGAAAUACACUAAAGUAAAAUACACUUCAUGUCAAAAACUGGCAUUAUUAUGAUACUUAGCUAUUUAGUCUCCUCCUGAUCCAGAAGAGAGGACUGGGUGGCAGUAUGAAGAAAGCUGCCUGACUCCUUUGGAGAUUGAGAUAUUUGACAAGUCGCCCUAUUGGAUCGGAUACCAGAAAUUAUUCUUUGCCUUCGUCGACAAACCGAUGAGCUGGAAAGAUGCUGAGGUAGCCUGACAUAACACUAUUAAGGAGUUGGUGUUGAACAAGACUGGAAUCAAAAUGAGUAUACUUUUAUUUUUCCAAUGUCUUUAUGUCUCACUCUGCUUUUCCAGAUAUUAAAUAUUAGGUGGAAAGGUUUGAAAGUAUUUGCCUUAUUCUCUGAUCUGAAAAAAUAAUAAUUUCUACCUUCUGUGUAAAAACUCAGCCCUGAGGCCAUCAUACUGUUUCUGUCCGCAGUGAGAGAGCUUCAUCUCUUUCUUAAAAAUGUUUCCUUUUAAUUUUACAUGCACUUUGCUCAAGUAACAAAAUAUAUGAUUUAAAGGCAAUAUAAGUAAAACAAAAAAGAGGCAUGAAUACUAAUGUUUAUUUAUAAAAGCUCAUCUCCGCCUUUACAGGAAUAUUGUGUGCGCUACGACACCAACCUCGCAUCCGUCCACAGCCAGCAGGAGAAUACAUUCCUUCGGAUCUACACGAUGACAAACAAAUAUUAUGGGCUAGACUGGAUUGGUGCAAACUAGACGUUCCAGAGCCAAGAUUGGAUGUGGACUGAUGGUUCAGAGUUUGAGGUGGUGAACUUGGACAAUAACAAGCCCGGCACCUUGGAUAAAAUGAGGAGAUGCCUGACAUUAAAUCCGUCAGAUUACACCAGUUGGUUUUGUAAUAAAAGGCUUCCCUUCAUCUGUGGAACCAAACCAAGUGAAGAGUCAUAAAGUACCACAGUGCUUCGGUCCAGGAAACACAUCUGACAACUCUUCUACAGUCCCCAUGACUUUUUGAAAUCACAUGAAACAAAAUAGCUGAAAUCAUAUAAAUAAUAAGCACU